CUUCUGUGGCGUCUGGAACCAUGCUUGCCAAAUUGAUGGCAAACUUGCAAAGAUAUCACUCUAUAAACUAUAAUGCUUCUGCAGCUAACACAAGAGCUUAAAUUAGAUUUUAUUCUGUAUCCAUGACAACAAUUACAACAUCAGUUCCUAUACAAUUCUCAAGUACUACUACUGCAACUCUUUCACUGUUAGAGAAAUGCAAAAGCAUGCCAGUUCUGCAUCAAAUUCACGCAUCCGUCAUCAAAUCUGGCCUUACUUCUCAUACAUUUCUUAUGAGUAAACUCAUUUCCAUCUGUUCGAAUUCCCGCUCUCCCAGUGACAUGAAUUACGCAUUGUCGAUCUUCAACAGCGUUGAGGAACCCAACUUCUUCAUCUUUUUCACCUUAAUAAGGGCUUUUGCUGACACUCCAAAUUCAUUACAGUCUAUUCUGUUUUACUCCAAAAUGUUGACUACUCUGGAGGAAUUCCAUGGUCUGGAGUUCUCAAUCCCGUCUGUUCUGAAAGCUUGUGGUAGGUCUUGUGCUUUUGAAGAAGGCAGGCAAAUUCAUGGCCAAAUUAUGAAAACUGACUUUCAAUGUGACCCAUUUGUGUCAAAUUCAAUGCUUCGCAUGUAUUUUGAUCUCAAAGAUAUUCGUUCAGCUAGACGGUUGUUUGACACAAUGCCUCACAGAGAUGUGUAUUCAUGGAAUUCAAUGAUUGCUGGUUAUUUGAAAGCUGGAGAAAUUGGUUUAGCUAGUGAGAUGUUCAGGGAAAUGCCGGAAAGGGACUUGGUUUCCUGGAAUUCAAUGAUUGAUGGGCUUGUUAAACAUGGGAAAUGCCAGCUUGCUCGAGAAAUUUUUGAGAUGAUGAAACACAAGAAUGUGGUUUCUUGGACAUGUAUGAUAUCGGGUUACAUGCUUAACCAUCGUCCUAAGGAAGCGUUGGAUCUUUUUCGGAAAAUGUUGAGUUCAGGAAUUGAACCUGAUCCAGCUGCCAUUGUUAGUGUUCUUUCUGCCAUUGCAGACUUGGGUUUUGUCGAAGAAGGUAAAUGGAUUCACUCUUUUGUUUGUAGAAGUAAGUUUCUUAGCAUAGAUUCAGGUGUUAUUGGAUCAGCACUUAUAGACAUGUAUUCGAAAUGCGGGUACAUUGACAAUGCGCGGGAUAUCUUCAAGUCCAUCUCACAUAGAAGAAAUAUAGGGGAUUGGAAUUCUAUGCUCUCUGGUCUAGCAAUUCAUGGACUUGGUAAAGAAGCUUUAGAAAUCCUCCAUGACAUGGAAAGGAUGGAAAUUGAACCCGACGAUAUCACAUUUUUAGCAGUCUUAAGAGCUUGUAGCCAUGGAGGGUUAGUUCAAGAGGGUCAAAUGUGUUUCAAGACCACGUGCGAAAAGUAUAAAGCAGUUCCAAAAAUACAGCACUACGGGUGUAUGAUCGACCUGUACGGAAGAGCUGGACAUUUGGAGGAUGCACUAAAGAUAUUGCAAGAAAUGCCCUUUGAACCAGAUGUUUUGGCAUGGAAAGCUAUUCUUAGUUCUUGUUUGAAGCAUGGGCAAAUUGAGCAAGGCAGAUUUGCCGCCCUCCGCGCUAUAGAGUUGGCUCCAAAAGACUCAAGUAGUUACAUUCUCCUAUCCAAUAUUUAUGCCAAGAUUGGUAGAUGGGACGAUGUUGCUAAAAUCAGGUCGUUGAUGAAGGAGCGAGGAAUCAAAAAGGUUCCUGGUUGCAGUUCAAUUCUGAUGAAUGGUGAAAUCCAUGAAUUUUUUGUCGGCAAGGAGAUUGAUUCAGAUGUUGUCAAAAAGCUAGAGGAGAUGGUUUUCCGGUUAAACUGGGAAGGUUACAGACCUGAUUUGAACCAAGUUCUUGUUGAUGUGGAGGAGAAAGACAAGGAGAGCUUAUUGAGUUUCCACAGCGAAAAAAUGGCUCUAGCAUUUGGUCUUAUAAAUGUUAGUAAAGGAGCUCCGAUACAUAUAGUGAAAAACUUAAGGGUUUGUUCUGAUUGUCAUUCUUUUUUCAAACUAGUAUCUAAGGUUUACAACCGUCAAAUAAUAUUGAGAGACCAGAAUCGUCUUCACCAUUUUAGUGAUGGUUCAUGCUCUUGUAAUGACUACUGGUGACUUCAGAUCGUUCAGUAAAAUCCCGACUUUCUUCGAAAGGUACUCUCUUUUCCAUUAAAAACUUGUUUCUUGUCAUAUUGGUUAUGCAUGACCUUACAGGUGAGAUUGAAGAGAGAAGUAGCUCAAAAUGACAAGAAACAAGAAGCCGUUAAAGAUGCUUAUUCGGAGUCUGAACAAGGUUCCGAGUCUUACAAAAGUUGGAUGAGCUAACAUGCAACAAACAAACCCACCUGCUCCACUCCUAAAUUAUGAAUUCUUGUAUAAGUAGAGGUGAAGUGUGGGUUUCACAAAUGGCGGGAGUAAGCAGGAAAAAAAUAUCUGCAAGGUCUCAUACCAGAAAAUCAAAGCAGCACCCAUUCCAAGUUUCAUCAGGAAUGUUUCGGACGAUAUCGC